rnacentral:rRNA from 1 species
AACGGAGGGUGCAAGCGUUGUUCGGAAUUACUGGGCGUAAAGCGCGUGCAGGCGGCUUUUUAAGUUUCGUGUGAAAUCCCCCGGCUUAACCGGGGAACGGCACGGAAAACUGGAAGGCUUGAGUACGGGAGAAGAGGGCGGAAUUCCCAGUGUAGAGGUGAAAUUCGUAGAUAUUGGGAAGAACACCGGCGGCGAAAGCGGCUCUCUGGACCGAUACUGACGCUCAUACGCGAGAGCGUGGGGAGCAAACAGG